UAAAGAAGCCCCUGGGAACACAGCUCAUCACCAUGGACUUGACCUGGAGGCUCCUCUUUGUGGUGGCAGCAGCUACAGGUGCCCAGUCCCAGGUCCAGCUGGUGCAGUCCGGGGCUGAGGUGAAGAAGCCUGGGGCCUCAGUGAAGCUCUCCUGCAAGGCUUCUGGAUACACCUUCAGCAUCUAUGCCAUCAGUUGGGUGCGACAGGCCCCUGGACAAGGGCUUGAGUGGAUGGGAGGGAUCAUCCCUCUUGUUGGUAUAACAAACUACGCACAGAAGUUCCAGGGCAGAGUCACGAUUACCGCGGACACGUCCACAAGCACAGCCUACAUGGAGCUGAGCAGCCUGAGAUCUGAGGACACGGCCGUGUAUUACUGUGCGAGAGGCACAGUGUGAAAACCACAUCCUGA